UACGAGAGGCCCAAACGUUAUUCGGAAUUACUGGGCGUAAAGGGCUCGUAGGCGGCCAACUAAGUCGGAUGUGAAAUCCCCAGGCUUAACCUGGGAACUGCAUCCGAUACUGGAUGGCUUGAAUCCGGGAGAGGGAUGCGGAAUUCCAGGUGUAGCGGUGAAAUGCGUAGAUAUCUGGAGGAACACCGGUGGCGAAGGCGGCAUCCUGGACCGGCAUUGACGCUGAGGAGCGAAAGCCAGGGGAGCAAACGGG
rnacentral:rRNA from 1 species